rnacentral:rRNA from 1 species
UACGUAGGGGGGCAAGCGUUGUCCGGAUUUAUUGGGCGUAAAGAGCGUGUAGGCGGCCAGAUAGGUCAGCUGUGAAAACUCGAGGCUCAACCUCGAGACGUCGGUUGAAACCAUCUGGCUAGAGUCCGGAAGAGGAGAGUGGAAUUCCCGGUGUAGCGGUGAAAUGCGCAGAUAUCGGGAAGAACACCCGUGGCGAAGGCGGCUCUCUGGGACGGUACUGACGCUGAGACGCGAAAGCGUGGGGAGCGAACAGG